CAGUAUAAACCUAUCUAAUAAAUUCACUUUUAGGAAUGUUCACAAUGCACACUAGUAUUUUUCUAAAGAUGAGUAUUACAUUGAGACAGGGAGACAUGUUGUGGAUGAAGUUCUGAUUGUCUCUGUAGACCAAUAAAUGCAGCAGAUAAAUCAAACAGAAAGAGGGCUGUUAAAUAAACAGAAGCAACAGCAUCUCAAAACUUUGAAAGUUUUAUUAUCGAUUUCAGCUCUAUACAGAAAUAUAAUAGCAAAGAGUAUACAAAUGUCCCAAUAGAAGCAAAAUAUCUUUUGUUUAAUAUUUAACACAUUAUUACAAGAAUGCUAAAAACAAUAACAUUUCUGUCCUAACAGAACACACUGAGUAGCUGGUAUAAAAGCCAUCGGAGCCCCUGUAACAAAGCCGCGCACUGCACAACUCAGACAAAACAGGGAUGGAAAGAGGCUGGGAUACUGGUAUUGUACUGGUAUUGUACAGUCCUGCUGGGGAUUCCUUCAUACAAAGUCUAGAGCUCUGUCGUCCCUUGUUUGUACAGUAUGUUUCUGGCUGGGGAUAAAUAUGAAGCCUCACUAUAUGACUUUGGUGAUGGAGCAAGCAAAUGCCAGUCAGGUAGUCUAGGCCUCGAAGCAAAUGCCAGUCAGGUAGUCAAGGCUCAAAGCAAAUGCCGGUCAGAUAGUCUAGGCUCGAAGCAAAUGCCGGUCAGAUAGUCUAGGCUCGAAGCAAAUGCCGGUCAGGUAGUCUAGGCCUCGAAGCAAAUGCCGGUCAGGUAGUCAAGGCUCGAAGCAAAUGCCGGUCAGGUAGUCUAGG